GCUUCGAGAUGAGCCCGCGGCCCAUCAGCUAGUUGGCGGGGUAACGGCCCACCAAGGCAACGACGGGUAGCUGGUCUGAGAGGACGAUCAGCCACACUGGAACUGAGACACGGUCCAGACUCCUACGGGAGGCAGCAGUGGGGAAUUUUCCACAAUGGGCGAAAGCCUGAUGGAGCAACGCCGCGUGUGUGAUGAAGGUUUUCGGAUCGUAAAGCACUUUCGACCGGGACGAAAAACCUCUGGCUAACAUCCAGGGGCCUGACGGUACCGGGAGAAGAAGCACCGGCUAACUCUGUGCCAGCAGCCGCGGUAAU
rnacentral:rRNA from 1 species